rnacentral:misc_RNA from 1 species
GAUGAAGAACGUAGCGAAUUGCGAUAAGUAAUGUGAAUUGCAGAAUUCAGUGAAUCAUCGAAUCUUUGAACGCACAUUGCGCCCCUCGGUAUUCCGUGGGACAUGCCUGUUCGAGCAUCAUUUAACCCCUCAAGCCUAGCUUGGUAUUGGGUGCUUGUCCCGCCUCUCGCGCGGCGACUCACCUCAAAGUCAUUGGCAGCCCGCAUCUCGCCGGCCGUGAGCGCAGCACAGACGCGCUCUUGGCAACGACGGAUCGGCUCUCCAAAAGCUUAUUUCAACCACUGACCUCGGAUCAGGUAGGGAUACCCGCUGAACUUAAGCAUAUCAAUAAGCGGAGGA